ensembl:lncRNA
CCACGGAGGCGAAGCUCUGGACGAACCAUCAGCGCUGAUUAGGGACUUAGACAUAUUCGAUUUCUCACGCUUAUGACUCUGUAUAACCGUUGCCACUUUACUUAAUAAAUCCAAGGUCCUCGUGCCGACAGACUUUAUUACCUCUCCGUCUCAUUUUAUCUGGUCCAGUAACUAGACAGACCGUUUUUCCCUUCAAUUUGGUGACCCACGACGUGAUUUUUUCUAAAUUGGACCGCAACUGGGAAACGAGAGACGGAGAGCGGCACGACCUCGGGACCCCGGAGCACCGGACCGAUUCCUGCAGUCUCACCUCGCGCGCGCCCAACAAAAGUUUCCCUGAGGUGUAUCUUUCACGCACACACACGCUGCAUAGGGCAGAAGCGGCUGAAGACUCUGUCUCCAUCCCUCCACCUUGCGAUCUAUACCACCAUAUAGGUGGGGAUUGAUCGUAUCCCAGGUACGGCAUCCUGCAGCGAGCCAGUAUGGAAGGCUGGUUAGCCAACGACGGGUAAGAUCCCACCUUGACACCCGGGACGACCUAAGGCAGGCACAGUCACGAUUACUUGGCAGAGUCGCUGUGGGCACUGGCUCACUUGAUCAUGAAGUGACGAGCUGCAACAAUCAUGGGAAGUGCCGGGUGGGGUGUAAGGUGGAGGAGGAACAGGAGUCAGAUAUGUCAGCUCUUGCAGCAGAGGUGGUCUUGGAACGGGGCAUGUCGCGUUUUAUUUUAUUUUAUUUUACCUUUGUGGUAUAGCAGGCCACGAACGCAUGUACGUUUUUUCGGUUUAGUGCAUGACUUUGGAACAGCGUGGUCUCAGGCGGCUGAUGGUAAACCCACCCAUAUUGGGCUUUGGUUUUGGACAGACUGGUUUCGAUUUCCCUUCCCAAAAGAUUGGUUUUAGUUUGCUGAUGGUUAAGGUUAGACGUUUCGACGUUGGUUGCACCAACGGCGUUCUUAGAUUUGCUUAUCAUUUAAUGCGCAUGGUGUUGACCAUUGCGCAAGGGGUGAGGUAUUGGG